rnacentral:rRNA from 1 species
UACGUAGGAGGCAAGCGUUGUCCGGAGUUACUGGGCGUAAAGCGCACGCAGGCGGUCUUGUCAGUCUGUAGGGACAGGGCACAGCUCAACUGUGUCAGGCUUAUGGAAACUGCAAGACUUGAGGGCUUCAGAGGGAUGGGGAAUUCCGGGUGGAGUGGUGAAAUGCGUAGAGAUCGGAAAGAACACCAACGGCGAAAGCACUCUGCUGGGCCGACACUGACACUGAGAGACGAAAGCUAGGGGAGCGAAUGGG